GACAAAAUCUCAACAUGAAGCAGGGAGCAGGAUAUUAAUCUGAAGAAAGCAAUAAACCUAGAUGUUGUCCACUCCUGGUCCAUUUUCUACAGUUCCUCAUCAUGUUCCUCCUCU